UACCGCAUAUUCUGUGAGCAGGAAAGCAGGGGACCGCAAGGCCUUGCGCUCUUUGAGCGGCCGAUGUCAGAUUAGCUAGUUGGUGAGGUAAAGGCUUACCAAGGCGACGAUCUGUAGCGGGUCUGAGAGGAUGAUCCGCCACACUGGAACUGAGACACGGUCCAGACUCCUACGGGAGGCAGCAGUGGGGAAUUUUGGACAAUGGGGGCAACCCUGAUCCAGCCAUGCCGCGUGAGUGAAGAAGGCCUUCGGGUUGUAAAGCUCUUUCGGCCGGGAAGAAAUCGCAUGGGCCAAUACCCUGUGUGGAUGACGGUACCGGAAUAAGAAGCACCGGCUAACUACGUGCCAGCAGCCGCGGUAAUACGUAGGGUGCGAGCGUUAAUCGGAAUUACUGGGCGUAAAGCGUGCGCAGGCGGUUUUGUAAGACAGGCGUGAAAUCCCCGGGCUUAACCUGGGAACUGCGUUUGUGACUGCAAGGCUAGAGUACGGCAGAGGGGGGUGGAAUUCCACGUGUAGCAGUGAAAUGCGUAGAGAUGUGGAGGAACACCAAUGGCGAAGGCAGCCCCCUGGGUCGAUACUGACGCUCAUGCACGAAAGCGUGGGUAGCAAACAGGAUUAGAUACCCUGGUAGUCCACGCCCUAAACUAUGUCAACUAGGUGUUGGGUGGGUAAAACCAUUUAGUACCGUAGCUAACGCGUGAAGUUGACCGCCUGGGGAGUACGGCCGCAAGGUUAAAACUCAAAGGAAUUGACGGGGACCCGCACAAGCGGUGGGUGAUGUGGAUUAAUUCGAUGCAACGCGAAAACCCUUACCUACCCUUGACAUGCCAGGAACUUGCCAGAGAUGGCUUGGUGCCCGAAAGGGAGCCUGGACACAGGUGCUGCAUGGCUGUCGUCAGCUCGUGUCGUGAGAUGUUGGGUUAAGUCCCGCAACGAGCGCAACCCUUGUCGUUAAUUGCCAUCAUUUAGUUGGGCACUUUAACGAGACUGCCGGUGACAAACCGGAGGAAGGUGGGGAUGACGUCAAGUCCUCAUGGCCCUUAUGGGUAGGGCUUCACACGUCAUACAAUGGUCGGUACAAAGGGUUGCCAAGCCGCGAGGCGGAGCCAAUCCCAGAAAGCCGAUCGUAGUCCGGAUUGCAGGCUGCAACUCGCCUGCAUGAAGUCGGAAUCGCUAGUAAUCGUGGAUCAGCAUGUCACGGUGAAUACGUUCCCGGGUCUUGUACACACCGCCCGUCACACCAUGGGAGCGGGUUCCGCCAGAAGUAGGUAGCCUAACCGCAAGGGGGGCGCUUACCACGGCGGGGUUCGUGACUGGGGUGAAGUCGUAACAAGGUA
rnacentral:rRNA from 1 species